ensembl:lncRNA
AUUAAGUUGAAAAGUUUAGUGAUUAAUACAAUUGCGAGAAAAAGCGGGUAUUUUGAGUAGUAAUUUGUGUGUAAACCUUCGAUUUUGUGCAUCUUUUGUGCAUUCCUGCUUUUUGCAGCAAACCCCCCCUGACACCGGCUCUCGCACACUAACAUCUACCAGGACUUUACCAAAAAUCCUCCCUCUCUCCCCCUUUUUCCAUCUUCACUUCUUAGCGUUGAGCUUUGACUUUUCUGUGUUUCCAGCUGCGCGCUAAGAGUCAGUCUGCUACGUCAAUCUGUCAGCUAAUGCACCUGAUGGGUGCAGUGUUUUUGGAGGGGGGGCACUUCAGUCAAUGACCCUGGAUGAUCCGGUGCAGGCCUCCAAGUUUUUCUGGCAAGAAUUCUUUCUCUUAGGGAAUCAACACAUUCCACAGACCUAAAAGUUGUAUUAAUUAUCCUGAGGUUGGAUUAUUGAUCAGCAGCUCAAUGGUCCCUGUUUUUUUCCGAAUGAUCUCAUAUGCACAUUACAAUCCGACGGUGCGCUGCAAUAAAUCAGCCUCAACCAGUUAUCAAGCUUUCUGCGCCCCGAUCUCCCCCCAAAAAGCCCCCAAAACACAACAACCGCCACGUGGUUAUCCAGUCAAUUUGACAGCUGGAGUGUGUUAUUACUCAAAGAGCCCUAAUUUGUGUCACGCUCCCGUGUGUGACCUCGGUGACAUUGUCGGGCGGAGAGGAAGGAAGUUGAGAGCGAGGUCAGCCAUCGCCAUUGGUUCUUUCUGGCCACACAGACGGUCCAUCACGUCACCUUUAAGCUUUUCUCCUUCUUUAAAAGUCUUUAUUCUGAAAGGAUUUGCCUUCGUGCCACCAGAGACCGCCGGCCUGUACAUUUGGUCGCACAGGGUUUUUUUUUUUCCGUCGUAUGUGCGUGAGAGCCAUGCAAUCCUUCCCUUGAACCCCCUCCACCCAUCCCUCCCUCCCUCCCUCCUCAUACCUCUCAGACCAUCAUUCCACAUUUUGAACAGUCUCGGGGGCAGAUUGGACUGUUUGCGUGCCAAGUGGGCCAGAGCGCGUGGACCGUACACGAGUGCACAUGGGGAGUAUUAAACCGAACCGUGCCCUCCCUUUUGCUAUUUCACCAUCUCGCUGUACCUCCACCCUUCUGGGCCAGAAGGUUGUGAUUACCGCAGAUGACAGGCCGGUCAUGCCCGGUUGGCUGCACACCUCCAUCUGCGUUACGGCUCCGGUACUCGCACGCCGUGUGUUCCCCGGGAAACACUGCUGCACGGACAAAAAUGGAGGCGGCGCCGGCGGCGUGGUGGUGAGAAGUGUGUUUUUCGGCAGGUUUUCUGCGGCUAGUUGAUCAUCAGACGGCCGCGGGGAACACGAUUUGUGUAACGCAUCCGUUGUUUUGUGGAGAGUUGGUUUCAGCACAUCAAUUCCUCAAAUUUACCCAGAUGGUGCAACUGUGACGGAGGGAAAUGACUCGUUGAAGUUCUGUGAAAACACUCCAAGUAAAACCCAUGAGUUCCAGCUGAGAGCGUCAUCUAAACAUCUGCCCGGAGGAUUCAGGACCAAGCGUCUCUGCGGAGAAAUGGCCUCCUCAGACCAGAGCAGAUACCCACCCGUCUGCAGACUCACUCCCUCCUCCGUGCACAAACGCACAAACCACAAACACGCACCAGACAGCCGCCGUCUGGCUGCUCGCAGGUUGACUUUGAGGGGUCCCCCCCCCCCUGACUGAUGUAUUGGACAGGACAUGAAUGGGAUUACGAGGCGCUUUGGCUGCCGCCGAAAAGACCAGAGAGAAAUAUUUCUCAAAAAAUUCUCCUGAAACUGAAGAGGUGAACACAAAGGGCUACAAGGAGGAGAGUUUGAUCUGAAUCCCGUAUCCUGUUGUUUUCAACGUGACUAAAUGAAUCCACAGGAUUACUCUUGUGUCUGGAUUACAUUCCGUGUUUGUGUAGGGGGCAGGCUGGGUAAUGACAUGUGAGAGACUAAUGGGUUGGUACGAAAGCCCACAACACACAGACCUUUUGAAUUGGUUUAUGUCAUCAAAAAAAAAACAUGGAAAGUAUGCUAAGGGGAAAAUAUGACUGUGUGUGUGUGUAUGUGCAUCUGAGGGUGUGAGAGUGUGUGUCUUUCUCAAUAUUUAUACCUUUGGGUGAGAUUUGCCUCUUUGGCGGCCCAGGUAGCUUUUCUUCGUUUUUACCGAACGCGUAAACACACACACACACACACACACACACACACACAGACGCGCGCGUUGAGACCUAAAAGUGUGUCUGGGUGUGUUUUGUAUCGUUUGUAAUGCAUCACUGUCCUCACGCUCUCUCCCCAUGGAACGUUCCCAGAGGACACCGUAGGUUGUUGUUGGAAUAAUCCCCAUCGGGCAUUAACAAGUAGCUGUGAGACAAAUGGAAGAGAGAAGUGUGAGAAUUGGAAUAUUUUUAUCUCAACUUUUCUGUCAGUUGUUCGGCGCGAGUUUCGCGACUUUAUCGAGGCUUUCAAAAAUGAAUUGAUAAGUGUUUUGGUUUGCACGGGUAAAGGUGACACAUGUGUUGUUUUCUCUUUUUAGCUGCUCCCAAAUGGCCAACAAAUAAUUCGCAUUACCUUUUUAUAAACGGGCAUGAAUUGACUUCACUUCUUGUUAGCAUGUCCUGCUCUUGUUAGGCCUAAAAUGUGCUCAAAGCCAUUGACUCAAACUAAAACUUGCAUGUUUUCUUUUUUCCGGCAAACCAUUUGAAUACUGUUGGAACUUCACUACCAAUAAAUCCUAAUAAAGUGAUAA